GCAGCAAACAGUUCAAUUGCCGCAAGAGUCCAGGGAAAAAAAUGAGCAUUCUACACGGAGUCUAGCAUGUGUUGAUCAUGGCAUGUGUGCAUCUCCAUCUGUUUCAGUGCUGCAGCUCCCUCUUGUUUUCAGUCGAGAAAUAAGAAUGAGGUUACCAAUGGCGGUUUCAAGGGAAUUAAUUAUCAUGCAUUUCAUCGACACGGGCAGCUCGCUGGAUCCGUAGCUCUGCAUGAGCUUGUCGAGACGCCGCGACUCCAGCAGCAAAGGCCCUGAGUAGUCCACCCCUACAUCUUCCUCUUCUACUUUUGAAACCAGAAAAAAAGAAAUAGCUCGUCAAGAAUGAGAGAAAAGAAAGUUAAAAGAACUUGAGCAUCCUACAACUACUUCUGCAAUGUAUAGUAAUCCCUUUUGCUCAGUGCUUGAAAUGUCCUACAAUAAUUUAGAAAUAGAAAGGAA
rnacentral:rRNA from 1 species